CGAGUGCCUCCCCACCUCGGUCUCCAGAAAUGGCCGAGUGCGGCCGAACCGUCAUUUGCCAAUUAGCGCCGCGGACAGGCUAUGACGAACCUUCCAGACCGGGGUGGGACCAUGGAGAGCAAGUGGAGCCGUCAGGAAACUUAAAAACCUAAUUUUAACUUGGAAUGAGAAUUGGGCAGCCGGGACCAAGGCAAACAUCAAACUUGGGGGCGAUUUUAACUCCCAGGCCUCAUCAGCAUGGCCUCCCUGUUCAUUUGUUGGCUGAAACUGAUGGGAAGCAGGAGGAGGGAAGCGACAGAACCUAAAGAAUGGUCCCUUGCACAUGGUUAUCUACAUAUUUUACAUAAAACCAAUAACUACAACUCAUUGGAAACCUUCAGCAUGAUGGAGCAUCAAUAUACCAACACUAGAGGAUGCUUUCUACAGUGAAUUCUCUGAAGUAUUCAGCAGUAUAG